UACGGAGGGUGCAAGCGUGAUCCGGAAUCAUUGGGUUUAAAGGGUCCGCAGGCGGAUUUAUAAGUCAGUGGUGAAAGCCCGUCGCUCAACGACGGAACUGCCAUUGAUACUGUAAGUCUUGAAUUCGAUCGAAGUGGGCGGAAUAUGACAUGUAGCGGUGAAAUGCUUAGAUAUGUCAUAGAACACCGAUAGCGAAGGCAGCUCACUAGGUCUGGAUUGACGCUCAGGGACGAAAGCGUGGGGAGCAAACAGG
rnacentral:rRNA from 1 species